rnacentral:rRNA from 1 species
UGGGGAAUUUUCCGCAAUGGGCGCAAGCCUGACGGAGCAAGACCGCGUGAGGGAGGAAGGUUCUUGGAUUGUAAACCUCUUUUCUCUGGGAAGAACAAAAUGACGGUACCAGAGGAAUAAGCAUCGGCUAACUCCGUGCCAGCAGCCGCGGUAAGACGGAGGAUGCAAGCGUUAUCCGGAAUGAUUGGGCGUAAAGCGUCCGCAGGUGGUUUUUCAAGUCUGCUGUUAAAGACCGGGGCUUAACUCCGGGCAGGCAGUGGAAACUGAAAGACUAGAGUAUGGUAGGGGCAGAGGGAAUUCCUGGUGUAGCGGUGAAAUGCGUAGAUCUCAGGAAGAACAUCGGUGGCGAAGGCGCUCUGCUAGGCCAUAACUGACACUCAGGGACGAAAGCUAGGGGAGCGAAUGGG